AGCUCAGUGAGGCACCACCUGCCUUGCAGGUUCAAUCCUCAGCACAAAAAACAAAAGACUCUCAUGAAAGAGAACUUCCAGAACAGCUUCACAAAGUGUCAAGAAUGAUGAAAGCGUAUGUUUGAAGUUGAAGUGAUGGGCGAUUUUUUGAGUUAUCCCUCAUCGAAAAAUUCUCAGACCUAUGCCAAGUGGCCUACAGCUUUGUGGUAGCAAAAAACUUCAAG
rnacentral:lncRNA from 1 species